AUGAGUAGUACAAAGUGUCCAAUUUUAAGCUGGAACAUUAGGGGACUGAACACGCCAGCCAGGCGAACUGCUGUGCGACAGAUAGUAGAAGCGCAGCGGACAAACAUUCUCUGUCUGCAAGAGACUAAGCUAGAAUCUUGGACGCCCAGUGUUGUCAGAGAGCUGGGAGGGGCCAGAUUAGAUGGGUGCGUCGUUCUUCCAGCGAUCGGCACUAGAGGAGGAAUUGUUGCACUAUGGGACAAGAGUAUGGUCAGUUUCGUAACGCACGCAGUCGGCAACUUCUCAAUCACCGGAAAAGUGUCUCUGAUC
rnacentral:rRNA from 1 species